UACAGAGGUGGCAAGCGUUGUUCGGAAUUACUGGGCGUAAAGGGUGCGUAGGCGGCCUUCUAAGUCAGACGUGAAAUCCCCCGGCUUAACCUGGGAACUGCGUCUGAUACUGGGAGGCUUGAGUAUGGGAGAGGGAUGUAGAAUUCCAGGUGUAGCGGUGAAAUGCGCAGAUAUCGGGAAGAACACCCGUGGCGAAGGCGGCUCUCUGGGACGGUACUGACGCUGAGACGCGAAAGCGUGGGGAGCGAACAGG
rnacentral:rRNA from 1 species